GAUGAACGCUGGCGGCGUGCCUAAUACAUGCAAGUCGAGCGAACGGACGAGAAGCUUGCUUCUCUGAUGUUAGCGGCGAACGGGUGAGUAACACGUGGAUAUCCUACCUAUAAGACUGGGAUAACUUCGGGAAACCGGAGCUAAUACCGGAUAAUAUUUUGAACCGCAUGGUUCAAAAGUGAAAGACGGUCUUGCUGUCACUUAUAGAUGGAUCCGCGCUGCAUUAGCUAGUUGGUAAGGUAACGGCUUACCAAGGCAACGAUGCAUAGCCGACCUGAGAGGGUGAUCGGCCACACUGGAACUGAGACACGGUCCAGACUCCUACGGGAGGCAGCAGUAGGGAAUCUUCCGCAAUGGGCGAAAGCCUGACGGAGCAACGCCGCGUGAGUGAUGAAGGUCUUCGGAUCGUAAAACUCUGUUAUUAGGGAAGAACAUAUGUGUAAGUAACUGUGCACAUCUUGACGGUACCUAAUCAGAAAGCCACGGCUAACUACGUG
rnacentral:rRNA from 1 species